rnacentral:tRNA from 1 species
GCGCAGGUGGUAGAGCGGUCAAUUACAACAGACUGUAAAUCUGUCGGCCUUUGGCCUACGGGGGUUCGAAUCCCUCCCUGCGCACCA